CGCAGGUGCGAAAGGAUUUUGGCCAAUCCUCUCCUCGCGCGCGGCGUGCUUCCAAUGGGUCGUCGAACCCUAGACCCCUUUCCCCAAUCCCACGACCGCCUCCAUCCUCUCGUGCUCCACCCCGAGCGUGCCCGGGCUCCGCCUCCUCCUCCACCAUCCCUUCUCUUCUCAAUCUUCCUCCUGUCGCAGCCGCCUCCUGUUCUCCCUCUCUUCCUCCUCCUCGCCCCAGGCGACCCCUCUCGCGCUGCUCAUCUCCACCUCAUAUGUGGCAUCUUCACUGCCGCCAUAGAUCGAGGAGGACGGCGUGAUGACGACCAUGAUGCAUCGGACAUCCCGAUCGAUGACACCAUGGAAGCCAUGAGAGCUGGCCGAGGAAAAGGGGGCAGGGCCAUAGGCCAUGAAGGGCACGGCGGCUGUGGGCGGAAGCAGCAUGGGUUGAAGGAGCAGCGGAUGUGGGCGGGGUCGGAGGUUGGGGGAGACUCGUCGGCUGGGCGACAGCGAGUGCCGGUGAGUGCUAGCAUGUGUCUCCAGAAGCGUCCUCUCCUACAAGGCAGGCAAGGCUGACGUCGUCGCCCUCGCAAGUCCUCCUCCCAUCCCUUUUGCUCCCCCUCCCCUGCCUCCUCACCUUGCCUUUGAGUCGGACGCAAUGUUCUACGAUCUAUUGCAUCUCCGUUCUCGUUAAGGAGAGGGGAGGCGGCCAAUGACAGGGAGAAGGAUCAGGCCGUCGAGGAGUGCAAGCAGAAGAAUAAAUAGCACGGAGAACAUAUAAGUGCUCUAUGUGUGUCUAAGGGCUCCAAGAGAUGCAGUCAUAGACAGUGACUGGUCCCUGAAGUUUGGGACGUUAAGGAUAAAAGCAAGCAGUUUUCAGAAACUUUUAGUUGUGGCUCAUGGGUUGCAGCAACUGGGAAACCAUUGACAAAUGUGGUCUCAGUUGGAGUUGGUGGUAGCUUCCUUGGACCUCUGUUUGUGCAUGCAGCUCUCCAGAUUGACCAGAAAGCAGAAGAGUCCGCCAAAGGCUGGCAACUGAGAUUGUAAGCGUGUACUUAGGGUAUGUUUUUGUAUUUCUUUCGCUGACACCUGUUACAUGUUCUUCUCGCACUUCCUAUGGAUGAUCAAAAAUAUUAAAUGUGAGUAAGUAGAGGCUUCCUUUUUGUCUUUCUGCACCAUUCAUGCAACCCUAACCAGGAAUUAUUUCAUUAUUGGAGUCUUUCAUUGUAUAUAUAACUAUAUAUUGAUGCAAGGUGGGAGAAGAAGGAGGUGGCUGGCCUUUAUUGUGUUUUGGUGUGGUGCUCUCCUAUUUAAUGGUAGAUAUGAUGUAUAGGUUCAAGCAUGUGAUUUUUCUUUCAGUGCAUAUUUGUGCUUUACGAUGUUUGAUGCAUACAUAGUUGAACCUCUUACUCCAUGUAAUACUUUGCCAAAGAAGAAUUUAUUAAUGUUGGUGUUUUUUCUCUUUUCAGAUUUUAGCCUGGGUGCAUAAACAUACAUGCCGCACAUUAUAUUCAAAUUUCAGUGCAAGAUUAAACUAGGGAUAAAUCAUUAUGGAAGGGAAAUGAAUGAAUAACAAACUGUAUAGAUUUAUUAUCAUAUCAUUUAUUUUUGAUUGCAUGAUCUUAAUUGCUCAUCUCUGAAAAUAUUUUAGGCUCUUGCUCUUGGAAUAUUAGACUGACGUGGUGUUGCUUUAUGAAUAAAUGGCGUGCUAACUUACUGGUUUGAUUUAGGUGUGUAGGCAGAGGAAACAAAAGAAUGAUACUCCCAGGUUUAGGCAUGCACAUGGUCACUGAUCACAAAGUAGGUAGGAACAUGUGCAGUAUUGUGAUUUUCAGCAAGAGGAAGAGAAACAUAGUUAAUUGUACGGAUUUUAAGCUACACUAUGUGAUGUUGCUCUAUUAUAAAGGCCUUGCUUAACUGCUUGGUUUGCAACAUGUAUUGCAUUUCCAGGGAUUAUCCUUUUGCUUAUUUAGUAUUUCCUAUGUUCUGUGAAGAUUAAUUUUGGCCCAUACAGUUUCCGGUGACUAGAAGUCUGAAACUGAAGACAGGGCAUAUUGUUUUGGUUAUGAGUGGUUGGAGAUAUUGUGGCUUGAUGUCCCUAGAGUUGUCAGACGCUUCCAAGAUCGGUGAGCCUGAUUUCUUCUGCAAUUCUUCCACCACAGUACAUGAAAAGGAAUAUGUUCUACCUAUUGGCACCAUUUCUUGUGGAGGAUUGGUGCUUCCCCUUUAUUUUUUCACACUUUGGUGUCCUUGAGUUCAGAAUAGAUUCACCUUUGUUCUGAUUCUGCGCACACGUCGAGCGACGGUGAGCACAUUGGACGGCAACACACCCAGGUGAUGUGAAGGCUAGCUACUAUGAUCAAGGAAAUAACAUGUAUCUGUGUGGUUUGUUCCUACCGUUGAUCGGCCAUUGCUGCGUUUAAGGUAUGUUGUGCCCGAUGCUACUUAAUGCUAUAUAAAACCUAUAGUUGUACAUAAAACGCCUUGAUAUGCAAAUAACCUAGUUAAAAUAAAUGGUUGCGCCAUCUAGGAUAGUCUAUAUUUGUAUUUCAUUCAGUUAUCUCAUAUUUCCAGUAAAAAAACUCUUCGCUUUGGGGUUUUGGAAUAAUCUUCAGGAAGUUGGGGACGAGUUAGUAGAACUUAUGGAAAUGUCGAUACUGUAGCUCAAAGUGUAAGUUUUUAUGUCCUUCUAUGCAUUUAUCGAUACUCUAGCCUGUUGGCUGACUGUCCCUUACUUAUCCAAAAACACUGAGUUCUGCUACUUACCCAACCAGAUGUUAAAUAUUUCAAAAUGCGUCUUUAUAUUGUCAUUGUAUCGUAGUUGCUUCUCCUGAUGUGUUUUUGUUUUACACCAGCAUAUAUUUGGUCCAGAGAUAUUCAAUUGUUUGUCUGAUAAGAUAAUAUUUUACUUCUUUAUGGAGCACUCUUAUGGCAAGCACAUUUUUUUGAAUGAACUGCUGGUUGGUUUUUUUCUCCAUAAAUACGAUAAAUUAUCAUAUCAUAUGAAAUGUUAAGAUAUACUGAAAAUAUGCCUUGUAUGAUGGUGGUCUGGCAUUUUAGAAUUGUUUUGGGCAAUGCAUGUUUGUAUGCAUUUUUCUUUUGGCCCUUGAAGGCUUCCAUGGUACGCAUAACAUCUUUAAUAGUUUGCAAUUGCGAUAAAAAAUGAUGUGCUCGUAUCUUUAGUUUUUAUUACACGUGGAGAUAAUGCCACAACUCUUGCUGGAAUUAUACUGUCAACUUAUGCUAAAUUUUUUCUGUCACACGUGACAAUUGCUACAUCUAUUAUGUUCUGUCACCGUUUUUACCUUCGUCAAUCUCAUGCAAAAAAUGAUAGACGAGUAAGUGUUAGUCAAUGACUAACAAUAGUCCAAUUUUUAAAUAUUUGUUGAAGUGUAGCUUCUAACUUUAUAACAUGUGGAUACUUUAUUUGAGUUUAUAAUAUCCUGUUUUUUGCCUCAUAGUUUAGUUUGAAUAAAAACAACAAAUAGUUUCUAUCUCCAUGGUUUUCCAGUUUGGUGAUUGUUCUCUCCAUACAGAGGCAUUAAUAGCUAAUAAUACACUUUGUACUUCUCCGGUCCAAUAGAAGUUGGCGCUGAAGCUAGCAGCAGACUCUGUAGAUGUCAAAACAACUUGUACUUUUGUGAACUGCGGGGGGUGGUUAUAAACAGUAGUUAUUUUCUAUGAGGAUAAGAUGCACAGAUGUACAUCCUGUUGGUGUGAUGUGGGGAUUUUAGUUUAGAAGAGACUGAGACCUUGUUACUGAAUAGCAGUUCACAGGUGGGCACACCAUUCGAUCAAUUAUGCGGGGUUGAGGGUUUAUCAUGAAUAUUUUGGCUGGUACAGCUCUCAAACACACAGCAGAGUUGAUUUAGGCCCAGUUACUCUUAAAUUAUUGAACGUGAAAGCAUUUGAAAAUCACCCUAUCCAUGAAGUAGUACCAAGCGUGUUUACUAAAAUAGGAGUGCAUGUGAUUUCUUGUGUUCUUAUCUGCAGCAGAAGUGGUAAUAGGUGUGGUUUUCCUCUAUAUGUCUUGACAGAAUAUUAGUAUUCUAUACUAUUUGUUAUGCAGUUAUUCUUUUUUUUUCAUGGCGAAUGGGCAAAUGAAGUCUGAAUCUAACAUCUAUACAGACAAUCGCUACUGUUUGCAUGUUCUUAGCUGGAAAAGUCGAAGAAACACCUAGGCCUUUGAAGGAUGUCAUCCUGGUUUCUUACGAGCUUAUUCAUAAAAAGGAUCCUGCUGCUGGUCAGAAAAUCAAGCAGAGGGUAAUGUAAUGGAACCAAUUGGAUGCUUCUUUUUCUAUGGAUUGUUCUUUGGUGAACCUUUUUCCCUUUACAAAAGUUGUAGCAUGACCUAAUUUCACCCUAUUAAUCUUGUUAUUCUCAUACAAUAACAGAAAAUAACUUCAGAAAUAUAGCCAGUAGAAGGCUAGCUAUUUCUAUCAGAAUCCUAACCUUUUCUCAUCAAUAUAUCAUUUAUUUUGGAAUUGUUUUGAUUGCAUCAUCAUCUGCUGAAAAGCUUACGAGACUGAUAAUGAUAUAGAAUAAAACUAUAUUCUAACCUACGAGGAGGCUGGGCACGUCUUCUAACCCGCAGCAGACUGUAUAGGCAGCGGGAGCGCCGGUCCCGUUGCCGGUCCAGACCAUGGGCGCAGCUUGGUCGAGCUAUAACGAGUGCAUCUGAUUCCAACUCAUCAAGGUGAGCUCCCUCUUUUAUUCUUCUCAGGCAAUGAGGCGUCAUUGUAGGCCCAAUCUUUUUGUUUGUUGCAUUGAAAAGUGUUGUCAUGUUGUGGAAAGGCAACAUGUGCUUGAUAUGUGGAGUUGGUGUUGAGCCUGGCAGUAGUAGAGAGGGAAGGCACCCAUCUCACUUGAUCUUGAGAGUUGAUUCAUAUCUUUUUUUCUUGACCUGAUUGAGUUCCUGUAUAUGCAAGGAUAAAGAAUAAGGGGCAUUGUCGUGGUUGUUGCUGAAGGUGAUGGUCAGGAGCUGAUUGCCGGGACUGAUGACAAGAACGGAGAGCAGGAUGAGAAAAAGAUGCACGACCAGGUUUCUCAUCAUGAUAACCAUGUUUCUAAACUUGCUAAAAAAAUACAACCACGCCAACUGUACUCUCUCAUCAUAGUGGCCAUAUUUUCAAAUUGAACAUAUUCGUAUUAUGCAAAGUUUCCCUUUUCCCAGCCUAUUAUUUAACAAUGUAAUAAACAUGUUUAAAAAAUAGCAUGAUUUAGUUGAAGGUUCUUGCAGCAUGAAACUAUUUUCAUCAACAGCUUGUCUUCAGCAGGUCUCUGUGCCAUUUGACGCAACGGGUCAACUAGUAUAAAUAAUGUAAAACUAUAUAUACCUCGUAAGUUUCAGCGGAAACAAUCAAACGGGUGUGGAGUCCUGAU